AGACCCGAAACCCGGUGAUCUAGCCAUGGGCAGGUUGAAGGUUGGGUAACACUAACUGGAGGACCGAACCGACUAAUGUUGAAAAAUUAGCGGAUGACCUGUGGCUGGGGGUGAAAGGCCAAUCAAACCGGGAGAUAGCUGGUUCUCCCCGAAAGCUAUUUAGGUAGCGCCUCGUGAAUUCAUCUCCGGGGGUAGAGCACUGUUUCGGCUAGGGGGCCAUCCCGGCUUACCAACCCGAUGCAAACUGCGAAUACCGGAGAAUGUUAUCACGGGAGACACACGGCGGGUGCUAACGUCCGUCGUGAAGAGGGAAACAACCCAGACCGCCAGCUAAGGUCCCAAAGUCAUGGUUAAGUGGGAAACGAUGUGGGAAGGCCCAGACAGCCAGGAUGUUGGCUUAGAAGCAGCCAUCAUUUAAAGAAAGCGUAAUAGCUCACUGGUCGAGUCGGCCUGCGCGGAAGAUGUAACGGGGCUAAACCAUGCACCGAAGCUGCGGCAGCGAACGUAUCACCCAAGACAACUUUACGGAGUUGACGAUUGACGGAGCGAAGCGACGUCAAAGCGUUCAUUAAAGUCGAGUUGGCUUAGGGAUACGUUCGUUGGGUAGGGGAGCGUUCUGUAAGCCUGUGAAGGUGUGUCGUGAGGCAUGCUGGAGGUAUCAGAAGUGCGAAUGCUGACAUAAGUAACGAUAAAGCGGGUGAAAAGCCCGCUCGCCGGAAGACCAAGGGUUCCUGUCCAACGUUAAUCGGGGCAGGGUGAGUCGACCCCUAAGGCGAGGCCGAAAGGCGUAGUCGAUGGGAAACGGGUUAAUAUUCCCGUACUUGGUGUUACUGCGAAGGGGGGACGGAGAAGGCUAUGUUGGCCGGGCGACGGUUGUCCCGGUUUAAGCGUGUAGGUGUGUGUUCCAGGUAAAUCCGGUUCACUUUAACACUGAGGCGUGACGACGAGGCACUACGGUGCUGAAGCAACAAAUGCCCUGCUUCCAGGAAAAGCCUCUAAGCAUCAGGUAACACGAAAUCGUACCCCAAACCGACACAGGUGGUCAGGUAGAGAAUACCAAGGCGCUUGAGAGAACUCGGGUGAAGGAACUAGGCAAAAUGGUGCCGUAACUUCGGGAGAAGGCACGCUGACACGUAGGUGAAGUGAUUUA
rnacentral:rRNA from 1 species